CAAUACGACCGUACCGCAAACCGACACUGGUGCGCGAGAUGAGUAUUCUAAGGCGCUUGAGAGAACUCAGGAGAAGGAACUCGGCAAAUUGACACCGUAACUUCGGAAGAAGGUGUGCCCUAUUAGUGUGAAGCGAACAGCGGAGCAUGAACGGGUUGCAAAAAAUCGGUGGCUGCGACUGUUUAUUAAAAACACAGCACUCUGCAAACACGAAAGUGGACGUAUAGGGUGUGACGCCUGCCCGGUGCUGGAAGAUUAAAUGAUGGGGUGCAAGCUCUUGAUUGAAGUCCCAGUAAACGGCGGCCGUAACUAUAACGGUCCUAAGGUAGCGAAAUUCCUUGUCGGGUAAGUUCCGACCUGCACGAAUGGCGUAACGAUGGCCACACUGUCUCCUCCUGAGACUCAGCGAAGUUGAAAUGUUUGUGAUGAUGCAAUCUCCCCGCGGAAAGACGGAAAGACCCCAUGAACCUUUACUGUAGCUUUGUAUUGGACUUUGAACAGAUCUGUGUAGGAUAGGUGGGAGGCUUUGAAGCAGGGUCGCUAGAUCUUGUGGAGCCAACGUUGAAAUACCACCCUGGUGUGUUUGAGGUUCUAACCUAGGUCCAUUAUCUGGAUCGGGGACAGUGCAUGGUAGGCAGUUUGACUGGGGCGGUCUCCUCCCAAAGCGUAACGGAGGAGUUCGAAGGUACGCUAGUUACGGUCGGACAUCGUGACGAUAGUGCAAUGGCAUAAGCGUGCUUAACUGCGAGACUGACAAGUCGAGCAGAUGCGAAAGCAGGACAUAGUGAUCCGGUGGUUCUGUAUGGAAGGGCCAUCGCUCAACGGAUAAAAGGUACUCUGGGGAUAACAGGCUGGUACCGCCCAAGAGUUCAUAUCGACGGCGGUGUUUGGCACCUCGAUGUCGGCUCAUCUCAUCCUGGGGCUGUAGCCGGUCCCAAGGGUAUGGCUGUUCGCCAUUUAAAGAGGUACGUGAGCUGGGUUUAAAACGUCGUGAGACAGUUUGGUCCCUAUCUUCCGUGGGCGCUGCAGAUUUGAGGAAGCCUGCUCCUAGUACGAGAGGACCGGAGUGGACACACCUCUGGUGUAUCGGUUGUCACGCCAGUGGCAUUGCCGAGUAGCUAGGUGUGGAAGAGAUAACCGCUGAAAGCAUCUAAGCGGGAAACUCGUUUCAAGAUGAGAUCUGCCGGGGCCUUGAGCCCCCUGAAGAGUCGUUCAAGACCAGGACGUUGAUAGGUCAGGUGUGGAAGCGCAGUAAUGCGUUAAGCUAACUGAUACUAAUUGCUCGUGCGGCUUGACCCU
rnacentral:rRNA from 1 species